CAAGAAUGUCCUUCGGGCCUUAAGACGCCACCCCGGAAAGGCCGGGAGAGCCGUCCCUCUGCAGGACGCAGGCGUCCGUGCCCUCGGACGCGAUUGAGAAAUCGCCCGCGGGGGGCGAUCGGGUGGCGUUUGGGUCCCCCGUUGAAGGAGAUGUGGGCACAGAGCCCGCCGUCCUACGGAGGAGGCGGGGGAACAGGCCAUCAGGCAACAGCGUUCAACUCUUGGUUGGGUCCCAUAGUUCCCGUUAAUGUGCUGCGUGUUGAAAUGAGGUCUGUGUUUUUAGGACUCCUUGUCAAAAUAAAAGCCACGGCACAAGCUCGGUUUGCUCUAAACUCACCCGACGCACAGCUCAGGGUGUUGUGACAGGCCUGGCGUGGUGUCGUCUGCUGGGAGGGCACGCGCAAGCCUGAGGGGUUUCAAGGACAAGCCUGGAAAGCUUCGACAUUCUACUCACGCUUUGAGACCUGCAUCCGGAGGCAUCCCUGCGUCUUAAGGGUCUCUGUGCCCGUCCAACGCCAGGCAGCCCAGUCUCUUUAACAGUUACGGCAGUUCUGCCCAAACCUGCUGUAAUGUGACAACAAAUCCACUGGUCCCCUUUCUUUAUAGAAAUAAUCAAUUCUAAUCAGUAAUUGCUUUUGGGCAAUAGUUCAAGUCUGCUGUCAUCCUUUGGCUGCUAUGUCACAGCAUCAUCUGAGUGGCUCAGAGGCAGUAACGCGUUCUCCUGUUACGGCAUCAAGCCCAGACAGUACUUCGCCGAGGCUUAAAGGGGUUAACGUGUUACCGCAUUUGGCAGCCAGCCGCGUCGUGGGCUUGCCAGCACGGUCCAUCCCGGAGAUGCUUCUCAGGCGCCCACCGAGGGGGCAGCAAGGACUUGGCUUCCGGCAAGUGCCCCUCCCCGCUACCCGGGUGAUCCUGGUGGGUGGGUGGCCUCUCUCUGAGAGGUCUGAGGGGUGACCGGGUGCUGCUCCCCCAAAGGCCUGGAGAAGGAGCACAGAGCUGGGGCUUCUGCAACCAUGGCCAGGCUUGCCUUGCAGCGAGCAGGCGUGCCUUGCACAGACCUGGGAGGAGGUGGGGCAGGGCUGGGGAUGGAAGGCACAGGGCCACCCCAGGUGUACACAGCAGAGAUCUGGGUCCUCUGGCCAGAAGGGG
ensembl:lncRNA